ACCAGAGUGGCGGAACUGGCAGACGCGCUAGGUUCAGGUCCUAGUUCCCGUAACCGGGAGUGGGGGUUCGAAUCCCCCCUCUGGUACCA
rnacentral:tRNA from 1 species